UCUGGAACUGCCAUCAAAACUUUUCAGCUAGAGUAUGAUAGAGGAAAGCAGAAUUUCUAGUGUAGAGGUGAAAUUCGUAGAUAUUAGAAAGAAUACCAAUUGCGAAGGCAGCUUUCUGGAUCAUUACUGACACUGAGGAACGAAAGCAUGGGUAGCGAAGAGGAUUAGAUACCCUCGUAGUCCAUGCCGUAAACGAUGUGUGUUAGACGUUGGAAAUUUAUUUUCAGCGUCGCAGCGAAAGCGAUAAACACACCGCCUGGGGAGUACGACCGCAAGGUUAAAACUCAAAUGAAUUGACGGGGACCCGCACAAGUAGUGGAGCAUGUGGUUUAAUUCGAAGAUACGCGCAGAACCUUACCAACACUUGACAUGUUCGUCGCGACUUUAAGAGAUUAAAGUUUUCGGUUCGGCCGGACGAAACACAGGUGCUGCAUGGCUGUCGUCAGCUCGUGUCGUGAGAUGUUGGGUUAAGUCCCGCAACGAGCGCAACCCUCACUUUUAGUUGCCAUCAUUAAGUUGGGCACUCUGAAAGAACUGCCAGUGAUAAGCUGGAGGAAGGUGGGGAUGACGUCAAGUCCUCAUGGCCCUUACGUGUUGGGCUACACACGUGCUACAAUGGUAUCUACAACAGGAAGCGAGACUGCGAGGUCAAGCAAAUCCUUAAAAGAUACCUCAGUUCGGAUUGCACUCUGCAACUCGAGUGCAUGAAGCUGGAAUUACUAGUAAUCGUGGAUCAGCGUGCCACGGUGAAUGCGUUCCCGGGUCUUGUACGCACCGCCCGUCACACCAUGGGAGUUGGUUCUACCUUAAGGCAAGGUUUAAAACCCUUGACCACGGUAUAGUCAGCGACUGGGGUGAAGUCGUAACAAGGUAAC
rnacentral:rRNA from 1 species